CUCUCUCUCUCUCUCUCUCUCUCUCUCGCACGCUGUCGGCAUACCAGACUCGGAAUUGACUUUUUUGGUACCAAUGAACCAGGUUAGGUACUUUCGGAUGCAUAGAAAGUACUUACGUUCGUGGUUAAGCUGCGUCAGAGAGGCUUUGGGGAUGAAUCAAGCCAUCCUAGAAUCUAAUAUAUACGAAUUGAAUGGAUUUGGAAGAUAUGUUUAUUUCAAAUGUUAUCGAAGUUCCCCCUCACUCACCCGGGCGGAGUGGAAAAAUUUGGGCGGCUUUUCCGAUGCCCUACGCCCCUGUCCACCCAGCAGUGAAUGGGUACCAGGUAUUAAUCGGGGGUUGUGUCCCGUCUCCUGGGGUCUGUUCCCUUCUCCUAUAAUUCCUUCCCCUUCUGUCUCUCUCCGGCAUAUGACCACAGAUGUUGCGCCGACUAAACGAAACUUUUUUUUCCCUCCCUCACUCCCUGGCCCCCCAAAAAAGCUUCAACUAAUGCUUAACUUCAAUCAAAAAUAACCAAAAAAAAUGAAAUAAGAAUCGAAAGGAAUGGAUAUGGAAGACGCUAUUUAUCAGCUUAAUUGAAAUGUUAUAUACGAAAUGAUUGAAUUUGGAAGAUAUGUUUAUUUGAAAUGUUAUCGAAGUCCCCCCUCCCCCCCACUCCCUCCCCCCCAAAAAUACUUCAACUAAUACUUAACUACUAUCAAAAACAACUCGGCCUGCUGUGUUAUCCUUCUUAUGGGGUGUUACUGCAGGAAGCAAGAGAGAGGAAGUCGAACGUUUUGGGAUUUCCACACGUUUUUGAGCAAGCAAACGUUUCCAGACUUGCACCCCCCCACUGUUGAUAAGGGUUUGGUAGAGGCCGUGUCAGUAUUUCCAUGGGUAGUUUUAUGAGUCUUGUGGUAGUGUGACAAGGCUUUGGUAGAGGUUAUGUUAGUAUGUCCAUGGGUAGUUUUAUGAGCCUUGUGAUAGUGUGACAAGGCUUUGGUAGAGGUUGUGUUAGUAUGUCCAUGGGUAGUUUUAUGAGCCUAGUGAUAGUGUGACAAGGCUUUGGUAGAGGUUAUGUUAGUAUGUCCAUGGGUAGUUUUAUGAGCCUAGUGAUAGUUAGACAAGGCUUUGGUAGAGGUUGUGUUAGUAUGUCCAUGGGUAGUUUUAUGAGCCUUGUGAUAGUUAGACAAGGCUUUAGCACCGUAGAUUCGUAACCCAGAGAUGAAACUUUAGAAUCCGAUUGUGUUUGUAAAAUUCGUAAGGAUCAGAAAAUAAUAAUAAUAAAAUAAAAACUCUUGUGGACCGGAAAAGUAGAGAAACACUGAUGUCAUUUCAAGAACAACAGUAGCCCAGGGUGUUGCAAGGUGUCCCUUCCUGAGUGUUCUGUGUUGUCCUGUUGAGAAUACAGGUAAAUAUGUAUCGAGGGAAAACUAUACGAAUUAUUUGAAAGUGAAGGAAAGUAGAGAAUCAGUGAAGAAUGAAGGAAAAUUACUGUAUGGCUGACAACACACACACACACACACACACACACACUCUUAUAUUAUAUCAACUUGUCUCGAUUUACAAGCAUUCAAUUUUUAUAUAUAGUAUUUUGUUUACCCUUUGCUGUCAGCCAAACACACACACACACACACACACACACACACACACACACACACACACACACACACACACACACACACACACACA